rnacentral:lncRNA from 1 species
GAAAGCACUUGAGGGAGAUCAAAGGAAAGGCCGAUGCUAAUGACAAUGGGGGGAAGAUGACGGUGAAGCUCAAUGAGAGGUGGUGGCGAAGGCAGAAAGGAGGUUGGCAUACAUUUGAGAAAGCACCCGAGGGAGAUUAAAAAGGGAAGACUGAUGCCGGUGACGAUGGAGAGGAAGGCAACAAUGGAGACCGACUGAAGAUGGUGAUGA